AGUGAACGCUGGCGGCGUGGAUUAGGCAUGCAAGUCGAGCGAUCCCGCAAGGGAUAGCGGCAAAAGGGUGAGUAACGCGUAAGCAAUCUGCCCACAAGUCGGGGAUAGCAUCGUGAAAACGGUGGUAAUACCCGAUGUUAUCGGUAGCCUGCAUGGGCAGCCGAUCAAAGACGGGGACCGUAAGGCCUGUCACUUGAGGAUGAGCUUGCGUACCAUCAGCUAGUUGGUAGGGUAAUGGCCUACCAAGGCUAAGACGGUUAGCUGGACUGAGAGGUUGACCAGCCACAUUGGGACUGAGACACUGCCCAGACUCCUACGGGAGGCUG
rnacentral:rRNA from 1 species